rfam:Sorghum bicolor cultivar BTx623 chromosome 8, whole genome shotgun sequence.
GUAGUCGGAUUCGCAUCAAUCCACAUGAAUUGGAGUGGAUUGGGGUAGAAUUUGAACUAAAUUCCACCUCAAUCCACUCCAACACAUGUGGAUUGAGGUGAAUCCGACA